rnacentral:rRNA from 1 species
GACGAACGCUGGCGGCGUGCUUAACACAUGCAAGUCGAACGAGAGCGUAGAGAAAGCUUGCUUUUUCUACAAUCUAGUGGCAAACGGGUGAGUAACGCGUAAACAACCUGCCCUACGGAUGGGGACAACAGCUGGAAACGGCUGCUAAUACCGAAUACGUUCCGAAAGUCGCAUGACUGUCGGAAGAAAGGAUGGCCUCUAUUUAUAAGCUAUCGCCGGAGGAGGGGUUUGCGUCUGAUUAGCUAGUUGGAGGGGUAACGGCCCACCAAGGCGACGAUCAGUAGCCGGUCUGAGAGGAUGAACGGCCACAUUGGAACUGAGACACGGUCCAGACUCCUACGGGAGGCAGCAGUGGGGAAUCUUCCGCAAUGGGCGAAAGCCUGACGGAGCAACGCCGCGUGAGUGAAGACGGCCUUCGGGUUGUAAAGCUCUGUUAUACGGGACGAAAAGUCUUGUGGUUAAUACCCAUGAGAAGUGACGGUACCGUAAGAGAAAGCCACGGCUAACUACGUGCCAGCAGCCGCGGUAAUACGUAGGUGGCAAGCGUUGUCCGGAAUUAUUGGGCGUAAAGGGCGCGCAGGCGGCUUCUUAAGUCUGUCUUAAAAGUGCGGGGCUUAACCCCGUGAUGGGAUGGAAACUGGGAAGCUCAGAGUAUCGGAGAGGAAAGCGGAAUUCCUAGUGUAGCGGUGAAAUGCGUAGAUAUUAGGAGGAACACCAGUGGCGAAAGCGGCUUUCUGGACGAAAACUGACGCUGAGGCGCGAAAGCCAGGGGAGCGAACGGG